rnacentral:lncRNA from 1 species
CAGCCAAUGUCAGCCACGCAGCCAAAGACAUCACCUUGCUGGUAGUCAAACACAUACUUGUGCGUGAGAGCAGCAUACAGCAGAUAUCCAGCCUGGGUGUGAACGAUUCCUUUGGGUUUCCCUGUGCUGCCUGAGGUAUACAGCAUGAAAAGCAUGUCUUCACUGUCCAUGCUCUCUGGAGUGCAUACAGAAGCUGCCUUGGCCAUCUCUUCUUCGAGGGGAACGUCAAGGUCACCCAUCUGGGUUUUGUUAUCUGUCCUCUGUGCCACAAAGACGUGUUUGACACUUGGACAGUUCUUUACAGCUUCAUCCACCGUCGUCUUCAGCUCUAUGAUUCG